rnacentral:rRNA from 1 species
CAACCAGACUCCUACGGGAGGCAGCAGUGAGGAAUAUUGGUCAAUGGCCGAGAGGCUGAACCAGCCAAGUCGCGUGAGGGAAGAAUGUCCUAUGGAUUGUAAACCCCUUUUGUCAGGGAGCAAAGUCACCCACGUGUGGGUGUUGGAGAGUACCUGAAGAAAAAGCAUCGGCUAACUCCGUGCCAGCAGCCGCGGUAAUACGAAGGAUGCGAGCGUUAUCCGGAUUUAUUGGGUUUAAAGGGUGCGUAGGCGGGUUAUCAAGUCAGCGGUCAAAUCGUGGGGCUCAACCCCAUCCAGCCGUUGAAACUGGGGAUCUAGAGUGUGCGAGAGGUAUGCGGAAUGCGUGGUGUAGCGGUGAAAUGCAUAGAUAUCACGCAGAACCCCGAUUGCGAAGGCAGCAUGCCGGCUCCACACUGACGCUGAGGCACGAAAGCGUGGGUAUCGAACAGGAUUAGAUACCCGGGUAA